UGGCCCUUCGAAGGGGCUGCAUUCGGUUUUUGGCACCCGGAGGGUGGGGAUGCUUUCGCGUCCCCACCUUUGGGGACCACCAAUCGGACAACAACACAAACACACCUUUGUGCACUCUGGUGGGACAAGUGGUGGUCUGUCUCUCUCCCUCUAUGGGGAGAGUAGUGUGGGCCCUCCCACUGUUCCAUUUUACUUACAACGCCUGUAAUGAAGCAUGUCUGUCGAGCUCUAAGGAGCAUUGAAAUCCAAUAACAACUUUCAACAACGGAUCUCUUGGCUUUCGCAUCGAUGAAGAACGCAGCGAAUGUGCGAAACGUAAUGUGAAUUGCAGAAUUCAGUGAAUCAUCGAAUCUUUGAACGCAUCUUGCGCUCCUUGGUAUUCCGAGGAGCAUGCCUGUUUGAGUGUCGUGAAGUCACUCGACCCUCCCAUGUUACACAUCACUGUGUUUUGUGGGGGUGGUCGGAUUUGGACGCUGCUCGUCAAUGGGCUCGUCUCUAAACGCAUUAGCUUGUCCCUCCUGUCCCGGUCCUCACAGACAAAACGGCGUGAUAAUUAGAACCUCGUCGGAAGGGAAAAAGGGGGGAAAGGCUUUCACUGUUCGAUCUCCUCGUAAGAGGAGAAGAAACGAAAACGAAUCUGACCUCAAAUCAGGUAGGACUACCCGCUGAACUUAAGCAUAUCAAUAAGCGGAGGAAAAGAAACUAACCAGGAUUCCCCUAGUAACGGCGAGUGAAGCGGGAAGAGCUCAAAUUUGUAAUCUGGCGGUCUCUGGCCGUCCGAGUUGUAGUCUGGAGAAGCGUCUUCCGUGCUGGACCGUG
rnacentral:rRNA from 1 species